CUGCAUCCGAUGGGAGCCACUUGGCCGUGCCUCCGUGUAAGAGCCAGAGGGAGGACAUGCUGCUGCUUCCAGGAGCUGCUUGAGGUAAGCGCCACCUGGAAUCUGCACCCCUCCC